rnacentral:rRNA from 1 species
AAACUCAAAGGAAUUGACGGGGGCCCGCACAAGCGGCGGAGCAUGCUGAUUAAUUCGAUGCAACGCGAAGAACCUUACCUGGGUUUGACAUGCACUGGACCGGCGUAGAGAUACGCCUUCCCUUGUGGCUGGUGCACAGGUGGUGCAUGGCUGUCGUCAGCUCGUGUCGUGGGAUGUUGGGUUAAGUCCCGCAACGAGCGCAACCCUCGUUCUAUGUUGCCAGCACGUGAUGGUGGGAACUCAUAGGAGACUGCCGGGGUCAACUCGGAGGAAG